AGUGAACGCUGGCGGCAGGCCUAAUACAUGCAAGUCGAACGGCAGCACAGCAGAGCUUGCUCUGUGGGUGGCGAGUGGCGGACUGGUGAGGAAUACAUGGGAAUCUACCCAGUCGUGGGGGAUAACGUAGGGAAACUUACGCUAAUACCGCAUGCGCCCUUCGGGGGAAAGCCGGGGACCUUCGGGCCUGGCGCGAUUGGAUCAGCCCAUGUGGGUUUAGCUAGUUGGCGGGGUAAAGGCCCACCAAGGUGACGAGCCGUAGCUGGUCUGAGAGGAUGAUCAGCCACACUGGAACUGAGACACGGUCCAGACUCCUACGGGAGGCAGCAGUAGGGAAUAUUGGACAAUGGGCGCAAGCCUGAUCCAGCCAUGCCGCGUGAGUGAAGAAGGCCUUCGGGUUGUAAAGCUCUUUUGUCCGGAAAGAAAAGCAUCCAGUUAAUACCUGGGUGUCCUGACGGUACCGGAAGAAUAAGCACCGGCUAACUUCGUGCCAGCCGCCGCUGUAAUAC
rnacentral:rRNA from 1 species